GAGGAGCAGGUCUGAUGAGGACAUGAAGAGUUCCAUCUUGGUAAAUGCCGACUUUGAGAUAUUAGCAAGACAUCUUGGUGGAUACCAGCAGCAGUGGUUAGGAUAGACUGUGCUAGAGUUCAUAGACGUGAGCAUUUUGUGGAAACUGAGGAAAGGACUGAGUUUCUGUGGAGAUCAUGUGGCUUGUGACAGAGUCAGCCCCCACAGG
rnacentral:lncRNA from 1 species